GUGUGAGCGUGAUCUAACUGUCACAUCUGCUGCCCUACUGACCACCAGGGAUGAUGAAGCGCAUCUGAUGCCAUAACAGGAUGUCCCCAUCCUGCCUCCCUUCCACAUGUCCAUCCCUUCAUGAGCUACAUGUUCAUUUAAAUAAAACAGACUUCUUCAGUGUUAGAGAAUAAUUCUUCAACAGAGGUUAUAGGAACCUACCCGGUUAGAAGGUUUAACCAGGCAUUCUAACGCGCAGUCUCCUUCAAAGGACAUUUCAUUGACCUUCAUACCAGAAUGUUGCAUAU
ensembl:misc_RNA 7SK 7SK RNA